UACGUAGGGUGCGAGCGUUAAUCGGAAUUACUGGGCGUAAAGCGUGCGCAGGCGGUUUUGUAAGACCGAUGUGAAAACCCCGGGCUCAACCUGGGAACUGCAUUGGUGACUGCAAGGCUAGAGUGUGUCAGAGGGAGGUGGAGUUCCACGUGUAGCAGUGAAAUGCGUAGAGAUGUGGAGGAACACCGAUGGCGAAGGCAGCCUCCUGGGAUAAAACUGACGCUCAUGCGCGAAAGCGUGGGGAGCAAACAGG
rnacentral:rRNA from 1 species